CGGGGACACCCAGCAUUGCAGCUCCUCACCCAGGCCGAGGAACCCACCCUAUUGCCACACUCCCACCUCUGCAUCGCCGUUGGGGUUAGGGCUCAUUCCCAAAACUUAUCCCCGUCUCACACAUCAGACACAUCAGCCGCACCCCACCAAAAUCCAGCUUUGGUGACUAAGAGUGUUAAAAAAAAAAAAAAAUCAUUUUUUUUCCUUUGCUCCAACCCAUUCCUGACUCAAGACGCCAAUCCCCUGCCUGCCUUUCCUCCGGAGCCAGUCCCGACCUGCAGCCCCUUCAGUCCGCCUUAAAAAAAACCCCUAACAAACGCAUUGAAAAGCUUCAUUAAAAAGGCAGCAACUUAACCCAACCCAACCCGCCACAGCCGGGAGAGCACGCUGGAAAAGAGGGCAGAGAGCCGUGCCGGGGGGCUGCACCCCACUGCCUCUCGGGCCCCCCGCAGCCCCGGGCGCAUCCCAGGCGGUGCAGCGCCGCGCUCCCCCUGCAGGAAGGAGAUCCCAUCGCUCUGCACGGCGGUACUGAUCCCACAACAGCCAUACGAGGCGGCUCUCGGGCAGGGCACGGCUGAACACGGCACUGAUUUGUCCAUUCAGCAGCCUCCGAUUCCCAUUUAUUGAGGGUUUUUUUUAUAUAUUCAGAUCCAUACAGGAUUCUCCCCUUUGGAAGCCCCUGCUCGCAGCUGCUUCUAAGCAGAAAGUCACAAGUGAGUCCUGGCCACGAACUGCAUCUACAGCAGCGAUUCAGGGACCGGCAGAAGCUCGGCCAGAUCUGCCCUGCUCUGCAGCAAUCAGGGUUUCAGUUUGUCAGUGCGUUCAGAAAGAGCACCACGGUCCUCAUUCCCUGCAUCCGGGCACCUCUGCCUUUGCAACAGCAGCAGCGAUGUUGAAGGCCUGCUCCCAAACUCAAUCCAAUAGUCUCUACC
rnacentral:lncRNA from 1 species